UGCCCCAUGGCUGAGUUGGUUACAGCGUCCGACUGUUAUGAUUUCAUGAUAAUCGGAAGGUCGUGAGUUCGAGCCUCACUGGGGCAG